ensembl:lncRNA
UGGGUUGUACACAGAGAGAAAGAGAGAUCUAAUGUGCGCCCAUUAGGUAAAAGGAUGAUGCAAUGACUAAUUAGAUAAUUGAGUUAUUUGAUUGCAAUCAGCAGGAAACUAUUUGGAUGGCUUGAUGGAUGAUCAUGGUGUGUAUCACUCCAUAAAGAAUAUGGAUGUUUCAAGGUAACUAAACUGGUUAUCUGCACCGUUCCGAUCCCAUUUUAUCACUGUCGAAUGCUAAAGGAUGUCUCCAUCCUUUUUAAGAGUUUGGAUGCUUACCUCCAAUUAACAAACCUUGGUAAUUGAAGUGCUAUCAGACAAAUCAGAAAUAUGAGUAUCCCAUUGGGAAAUUGCAUGAAGUCAAGGUUUAUUGUACAACACCAGUUUCUGAUUUUGAAUGACAAGUUUAUUUGGACAGUGCUGUGAUUUUUCUGGGAUCCUCAGUUGACUCAGCCUUUUAACCAGUCAACCGCAUGUGAAUAAGAUGACGCUAAUGGUCUACAUAGGACAUUUCGUCUUGGGAACAUCCAAAGUAGACGUGAAGGCAAGUUCUAGCAAGGUGACUCAGGGGGCUCAAACUCCAUCCCUCCCAACGACCCCACGCUCCCACUGGACGAGUGCAGUUGAUAAAGGACGUAAAGAUCAGAUGCCCCUUGGCCUUUAUAGAUUAACGAAUAUGAGCUGUCAGCACCUCUCAUCUCCAUUCCCAAUGAUUUACGUCAAGUUUAAUGAGCCUGCCAGGGCCAGAUAACACACUCGCAAUGACUUCUGGGUCUGCUAUAUGCAUUAUGCACACUGUCCAUUCUAGCAGCUUAAAAACUGCUAUUAUAAUAAAAUUAUAAAUUUAUAUUUUGUAGGACACUAUAUUUUUAAAUGAGAGCGUCUGUUAAAUGUACUACAUGUAAAUUGAGGCUUUGCAAUAUGCAAAGAACCUGAAAAUCCAGUGAAGCCCCUUUGUUUACAUAGUAUUUCAAGUAGCUUCUGAACAAAUCCAGAGAUCAUAUCAGAUCACAGAGUGAAGAUCAUCCAUGCAGCUGGACGAAUGCCUUGAAUAUUUUUGUUUAUCGUUAAUUACAGCUGUGUUUAAUGUGACAUGUCUUAGCACAAAGUGUAUCCCAGUGCUGACUGAUAAAGACUGACCAAAGCUUAGCCCUUGAUCCAGAGUCAUGAGCAGGUCGGAACAGUCUGGACAUGCAUGAAGGCCGAAUGAUCUGGUCCAGGAAUAAUAUCAGACUUCCUCUACCAAAACAAAUGCAGGUUUUCACAGCCCACUGAUUCUUGAGACGAGGCAAAAUGGUUCACCUGCCAUUUGUUUUAAAAAUAGGGAUAUUUACUUUGAAAUUAAUCUGAGAUUAUUCUUAACAAAGCACCAUUUUAUUUAGUGCUUGAUAUUAUGUUAUCCUUCUCUUUAAAACCACCUGUCCUCAGAGCUUAAUUCAGUGCUUCACAUAUAGAUUGAAAUCACAUAUAGUUUUUAUUAUUAGGUAGUGACACCAGAAACUAAAAUGUUAUGGUUGGUCAACACUACAAACUGCCAAUCUAGUCUGGUGACGGAGAUAAUUCAAUAGAUGAAGCUGACAAUCAGAAUUGAACAACUGAAAACCAUUCUAAUCCACAAUUCAUUCACAAGGUGAAUGCAAGUUUAUAAUAAAUAUUUGACAUAUCUG